GUUUUUUUUUUUUUUGGUUUGUCGAGUCGUCCAUAUCAAAAAUGUUUUCUCCUCUGUUGAGGCAUAUUGCAGAAAGAUUUGAUAUCGAAUGUACUAAAUUUGGGUCCGACGUCCGUGAACUUUUCAAUCUUUGAACUUCUAUUUGGGAACCACGUAAAAGGAUCAAUAUAUGAAUCUGUUAUUUUACUCCAUUGUUGAAGCAUAUGAUAAAAAGAUCAUAACAUGUCAUUUUUCCAUAUCGCAUGUAUUAUCAGCCCUCGGUCAAUAUCAGCCCUCGAGCCAUGCGGCUCUUGGGCUGAUAUUGAACCUAGGGCUGAUAAUACAUGCGAUAUGAAAAAUGCCAUGUAAUAAUCUGAUAUUAUUU
rnacentral:lncRNA from 1 species